rnacentral:rRNA from 1 species
UUGAAAUACCACCCUUUAAUGUUUGAUGUUCUAACGUGGACCCGUGAUCCGGGUUGCGGACAGUGUCUGGUGGGUAGUUUGACUGGGGCGGUCUCCUCCUAAAGAGUAACGGAGGAGCACGAAGGUUGGCUAAUCCUGGUCGGACAUCAGGAGGUUAGUGCAAUGGCAUAAGCCAGCUUGACUGCGAGCGUGACGGCGCGAGCAGGUGCGAAAGCAGGUCAUAGUGAUCCGGUGGUUCUGAAUGGAAGGGCCAUCGCUCAACGGAUAAAAGGUACUCCGGGGAUAACAGGCUGAUACCGCCCAAGAGUUCAUAUCGACGGCGGUGUUUGGCACCUCGAUGUCGGCUCAUCACAUCCUGGGGCUGAAGUAGGUCCCAAGGGUAUGGCUGUUCGCCAUUUAAAGUGGUACGCGAGCUGGGUUUAGAACGUCGUGAGACAGUUCGGUCCCUAUCUGCCGUGGGCGCUGGAGAACUGAGGGGGGCUGCUCCUAGUACGAGAGGACCGGAGUGGACGCAUCACUGGUGUUCGGG